rnacentral:rRNA from 1 species
CCUACGGGUGGCUGCAGUGGGGAAUAUUGGACAAUGGGCGAAAGCCUGAUCCAGCCAUGCCGCGUGUGUGAAGAAGGCCUUCGGGUUGUAAAGCACUUUCAGUGGGGAAGAAAGCCUUGGGGCUAAUACCCUCGAGGAAGGACAUCACCCACAGAAGAAGCACCGGCUAACUCCGUGCCAGCAGCCGCGGUAAUACGGAGGGUGCGAGCGUUAAUCGGAAUUACUGGGCGUAAAGCGCGCGUAGGCGGUCUGAUAAGCCGGUUGUGAAAGCCCCGGGCUCAACCUGGGAACGGCAUCCGGAACUGUCCGGCUAGAGUGCAGGAGAGGAAGGUAGAAUUCCCGGUGUAGCGGGGAAAUGCGUAGAGAUCGGGAGGAAUACCAGUGGCGAAGGCGGCCUUCUGGACUGAAACUGACGCUGAGGUGCGAAAGCGUGGGUAGCAAACAGGAUUAGAUACCCGUGUAGUC